GCCUGGGUGGCUUAGUCUGUUGAGCAUCUGACUUUAGCUCAGGUCAUGAUCUCACAGUUGGUGGGUUCGAGCCCCAUGUCAGGCU
rnacentral:tRNA from 1 species